rnacentral:misc_RNA from 1 species
GUGAGUCAUCGAAUCUUUGAACGCACAUUGCGCCCCUUGGUUAUUCCGAAGGGCAUGCCUGUUCGAGCGUCAUUAUCACCCCUCAAGCCCUGGCUUGGUGUUGGACUUUAGUUAUAGCUUUGCCUAUCAACUGGUCUCAAAGAUAGUGACGGCGCCCCAGAGGGAACCGGGUACGAGGAGCUUUUUACUAAGCAUGUAUCUGGGACGACUCUGAUGGGCGACGGUCUUGUUAUACUUUUUACCUAAGUGUUGACCUCGGAUCAGGUAGGAAUACCCGCUGAACUUAAGCAUAUCAAUAAGCGGAGGA